CCUACGGGAGGCAGCAGUAGGGAAUCUUCCACAAUGGACGAAAGUCUGAUGGAGCAACGCCGCGUGAGUGAUGAAGGUUUUCGGAUCGUAAAACUCUGUUGUAAGGGAAGAACAAGUACGAGAGGGAAUGCUCGUACCUUGACGGUACCUUGCGAGAAAGCCACGGCUAACUACGUGCCAGCAGCCGCGGUAAUACGUAGGUGGCAAGCGUUGUCCGGAAUUAUUGGGCGUAAAGCGCGCGCAGGCGGCCUUUUAAGUCUGAUGUGAAAGCCCCCGGCUCAACCGGGGAGGGUCAUUGGAAACUGGAAGGCUUGAGUACAGAAGAGAAGAGUGGAAUUCCAUGUGUAGCGGUGAAAUGCGUAGAGAUGUGGAGGAACACCAGUGGCGAAGGCGACUCUUUGGUCUGUAACUGACGCUGAGGCGCGAAAGCGUGGGGAGCAAACAGGAUUAGAUACCCUGGUAGUCCACGCCGUAAACGAUGAGUGCUAGGUNUUGGGGGGUUUACCGCCCCUCAGUGCUGAAGCUAACGCAUUAAGCACUCCGCCUGGGGAUACGGCCGNAGNUGAACUUAAGAUGCG
rnacentral:rRNA from 1 species